GAUCCUGGCUUAGGAUGAACGCUGGCGGCGUGCUUAACACAUGCAAGUCGAACGAAGCAGCUUCUGCUUGCAAGAAAGCUGACUUAGUGGCGGACGGGUGAGUAACGCGUGGGUAACCUGCCUCAUACAGGGGGAUAACAGUUGGAAACGACUGCUAAGACCGCAUAACCCGCUAGUGUCGCAUGACACGGACGGAAAAUAUUUAUAGGUAUGAGAUGGGCCCGCGUCUGAUUAGCUAGUUGGUGAGGUAACGGCUUACCAAGGCGACGAUCAGUAGCCGACUUGAGAGAGUGAUCGGCCACAUUGGGACUGAGACACGGCCCAAACUCCUACGGGAGGCAGCAGUGGGGAAUAUUGGACAAUGGGGGAAACCCUGAUCCAGCCGACGCCGCGUGAGUGAAGAAGUAUUUCGGUAUGUAAAGCUCUAUCAGCAGGGAAGAUAAUGACAGUACCUGACUAAGAAGCCCCGGCUAACUACGUGCCAGCCGCCGC
rnacentral:rRNA from 1 species